AGAGUAGGUCCCGGUGCCUCUGAAGGUGGCUGUGUGAACUGGGGGGGGCGGUGUCAGACUUUUGAGGCUGGGCUGUCUCAUCUGUAAAGUGGGGGUGAUUCUAUGUGAUGACAUUAUUAUCAAGAUUGUUUCCCCUUUCUCCUUCUCCCAACUCCCCAUAUUUGGCUGACACGGUCAGCUGUGACCUGGAGGUGGGGCUUAGUUUAAUGUCAGGACCAGCUGGGGGCGUGCCUUGGGGGCCCUGCUAAAUGCACCGUCUCCAGUAAUGAAGAGACGGCUCUGAUGGAGAUCACUCUGUGUCAAGAGGGGCAGCCAUGUCAGCAUCUCUGCUCGAUGAUGCCACCGGAGGAGAGGCUGCUGCUGUGGGUGUCUCUAUGCAUACCCCAGCCGGCCUCAAGCUCUCCAUCCUCCUGCCCCUGCCUCUGGAGAGCUGAGAUUACAGCUGAGGACCGAACCCAGGGCCUUGCGCUUGCUAGGCAAGCACUCUGCCAUUGAGCUAAAUCCCCACCCCUGAAGAUGGACUAGAGAGUCUGUUGAACUUGAAGAUUGUGGACCAGCUGGUCAGCCAACUCCCUGGAUCUACCCAUCUCUGCCCACUCACCACCAAAGCUGGGCUUCCAGGCAUGUGAGCCAUGUCCGGCCUUUGUACACAUACACUGGGGACUCAAAUGCAGGUCCUCAAACCUUCAGUCAAGUGUUCUCACUCACCGAUCCCUCUCCUCGG